rnacentral:rRNA from 1 species
GACGAACCGUGCGAACGUUAUUCGGAAUCACUGGGCUUAAAGCGCGUGUAGGCGGGCGCGUGCGUCGGACCCUGAAAGCCCCCGGCUCAACCGGGGAAGUGGGGCCGAUACGGCGUGCCUGGAGGGACGUAGGGGGACCUGGAACUUCCGGUGGAGCGGUGAAAUGCGUUGAGAUCGGAAGGAACGCCCGUGGCGAAAGCGAGGUCCUGGACGUCUGCUGACGCUGAGACGCGAAAGCUAGGGGAGCGAACGGG